CCCUUAGAUGUUCUGGGCCGCACGCGCGCUACACUGACGGAUUCAACGAGCUUACAACCUUGGCCGAAAGGUCUGGGUAAUCUCCAAAAUCCGUCGUGAUGGGGAUAGAUUAUUGCAAUUAUUAAUCUUCAACGAGGAAUGCCUAGUAAGCGCAAGUCAUCGGCUUGCGUUGAUUACGUCCCUGCCCUUUGUACACACCGCCCGUCGCUCCUACCGAUUGAAUGGUCCGGUGAAGCGUUUGGACUAUGGUUUUCUGAUGGUCCGCCGUUGGAUUACCGUGGGAAGUUCGUUAAACCUUAUCAUUUAGAGGAAGGAGAAGUCGUAACA
rnacentral:rRNA from 1 species